GAUGAACGCUGGCGGCGUGCCUAAUACAUGCAAGUCGAGCGAAUGGACUAAGAGCUUGCUCUUAUGAAGUUAGCGGCGGACGGGUGAGUAACACGUGGGUAACCUGCCCAUAAGACUGGGAUAACUCCGGGAAACCGGGGCUAAUACCGGAUAACAUUUUGAACCGCAUGGUUCGAAAUUGAAAGGCGGCUUCGGCUGUCACUUAUGGCUGGACCCGCGUCGCAUUAGCUAGUUGGUGAGGUAACGGCUCACCGAGGCAACGAUGCGUAGCCGACCUGAGAGGGUGAUCGGCCACACUGGGACUGAGACACGGCCCAGACUCCUACGGGAGGCAGCAGUAGGGAAUCUUCCGCAAUGGACGAAAGUCUGACGGAGCAACGCCGCGUGAGUGAUGAAGGCUUUCGGGUCGUAAAACUCUGUUGUUAGGGAAGAACAAGUGCUAGUUGAAUAAGCUGGCACCUUGACGGUACCUAACCAGAAAGCCACGGCUAACUACGUGCCAGCCGCCGCGGUAA
rnacentral:rRNA from 1 species